CUAAGGGGGCUAGCGUUUCUCGGAAUCACUGGGCGUAAAGCGCACGUAGGCGGAUCUCUAAGUCAGGGGUGAAAUCCCGGAGCUCAACUCCGGAACUGCCUUUGAUACUGGAGGUCUCGAGUCCGGGAGAGGUGAGUGGAACUGCGAGUGUAGAGGUGAAAUUCGUAGAUAUUCGCAAGAACACCAGUGGCGAAGGCGGCUCACUGGCCCGGUACUGACGCUGAGGUGCGAAAGCGUGGGGAGCAAACAG
rnacentral:rRNA from 1 species